rnacentral:rRNA from 1 species
AACGAACGCUGGCGGCAGGCUUAACACAUGCAAGUCGAGCGCCCCGCAAGGGGAGCGGCAGACGGGUGAGUAACGCGUGGGAAUCUACCCAUCUCUACGGAAUAACGCAUGGAAACGUGUGCUAAUACCGUAUACGUCCUUCGGGAGAAAGAUUUAUCGGAGAUGGAUGAGCCCGCGUUGGAUUAGCUAGUUGGUGGGGUAAAGGCCUACCAAGGCGACGAUCCAUAGCUGGUCUGAGAGGAUGAUCAGCCACACUGGGACUGAGACACGGCCCCGACUCCUACGGGAGGCAGCAGUGGGGAAUAUUGGACAAUGGGCGCAAACCUGAUCCAGCCAUGCCGCGUGAGUGAUGAAGGCCCUAGGGUUGUAAAGCUCUUUCGCCGGUGAAGAUAAUGACGGUAACCGGAGAAGAAGCCCCGGCUAACUUCGUGCCAGCAGCCGCCGUAACAC